AUUGAACGCUGGCGGCAGGCCUAACACAUGCAAGUCGAACGAGUGGCGGACGGGUGAGUAAUGUCUGGGAAACUGCCUGAUGGCGGGGGAUAACUACUGGAAACUGUAGCUAAUACCGCAUACCCUCGGAUGUGCCCAGAUGGGAUUAGCUAGGAGGUGGGGUAAAGGCUCACCUAGGCGACGAUCCCUAGCUGGUCUGAGAGGAUGACCAGCCACACUGGAACUGAGACACGGUCCAGAAUCCGACGGGAGGCAGCAGUGGGGAAUAUGGAAAAAUGGGCGCAAGCCUGAUGCAGCCAUGCCGCGUGUAUGAAGAAGGCCUGCGGGUUGUAAAGUACUUUCAGCGGGGAGGCGUUACCCGCAGAAGAAGCACCGGCUAACUCCGUGCCAGCAGCCGCGGUAAUAC
rnacentral:rRNA from 1 species